GCCCUGCUUCCAGGAAAAGCCUCUAGCAUCAGGUAACAUCAAAUCGUACCCCAAACCGACACAGGUGGUCAGGUAGAGAAUACCAAGGCGCUUGAGAGAACUCGGGUGAAGGAACUAGGCAAAAUGGUGCCGUAACUUCGGGAGAAGGCACGCUGAUAUGUAGGUGAAGCGACUUGCUCGUGGAGCUGAAAUCAGUCGAAGAUACCAGCUGGCUGCAACUGUUUAUUAAAAACACAGCACUGUGCAAACACGAAAGUGGACGUAUACGGUGUGACGCCUGCCCGGUGCCGGAAGGUUAAUUGAUGGGGUUAGCGCAAGCGAAGCUCUUGAUCGAAGCCCCGGUAAACGGCGGCCGUAACGAUAACGGUCCUAAGGUAGCGAAAUUCCUUGUCGGGUAAGUUCCGACCUGCACGAAUGGCGUAAUGAUGGCCAGGCUGUCUCCACCCGAGACUCAGUGAAAUUGAACUCGCUGUGAAGAUGCAGUGUACCCGCGGCAAGACGGAAAGACCCCGUGAACCUUUACUAUAGCUUGACACUGAACAUUGAGCCUUGAUGUGUAGGAUAGGUGGGAGGCUUUGAAGUGUGGACGCCAGUCUGCAUGGAGCCGACCUUGAAAUACCACCCUUUAAUGUUUGAUGUUCUAACGUUGACCCGUAAUCCGGGUUGCGGACAGUGUCUGGUGGGUAGUUUGACUGGGGCGGUCUCCUCCUAAAGAGUAACGGAGGAGCACGAAGGUUGGCUAAUCCUGGUCGGACAUCAGGAGGUUAGUGCAAUGGCAUAAGCCAGCUUGACUGCGAGCGUGACGGCGCGAGCAGGUGCGAAAGCAGGUCAUAGUGAUCCGGUGGUUCUGAAUGGAAGGGCCAUCGCUCAACGGAUAAAAGGUACUCCGGGGAUAACAGGCUGAUACCGCCCAAGAGUUCAUAUCGACGGCGGUGUUUGGCACCUCGAUGUCGGCUCAUCACAUCCUGGGGCUGAAGUAGGUCCCAAGGGUAUGGCUGUUCGCCAUUUAAAGUGGUACGCGAGCUGGGUUUAGAACGUCGUGAGACAGUUCGGUCCCUAUCUGCCGUGGGCGCUGGAGAACUGAGGGGGGCUGCUCCUAGUACGAGAGGACCGGAGUGGACGCAUCACUGGUGUUCGGGUUGUCAUGCCAAUGGCACUGCCCGGUAGCUAAAUGCGGAAGAGAUAAGUGCUGAAAGCAUCUAAGCACGAAACUUGCCCCGAGAUGAGUUCUCCCUGACUCCUUGAGAGUCCUGAAGGAACGUUGAAGACGACGACGUUGAUAGGCCGGGUGUGUAAGCGCAGCGAUGCGUUGAGCUAACCGGUACUAAUGAACCGUG
rnacentral:rRNA from 1 species